AAAUGGCUUUAGGAGUGUUUUUUGACAAAGAGGAGGCUAGGAUAUCUUUGGUAAUAGAGUCUUUUAGAAUGCCCCAUGAUUAUUUCAGAUAUAUACCUGAGAUUAUCUAUAAAAAUCAACUUAUUUGAAUCUUCGUUCCGUUGGUAUCUUUAGAUUGAUUUGGUUUGCCUAAGUUCGAUUUUGCUUAAUUUCUUUUCGAUUGUUAUUAGUUUGUAAUCAUUUUAUUUCUCCACACACACAAAGUCCUUUUUCACAAGACUUUUCAUUUUCAUUUUUUCAUUUUUUCUUUUUUUGUGCUGGGAAGACUUUUCCAAGUUCAUAAUUUGGAAUACUGAGAUAUAACAAACAUUAAUAAAUUUAUGACCAAAAAAAAAUUCGAUGAUUAAUAAAUAAAUCCACAUACAUAAUAGUAACUAAUUCCAUUUUCAAGAAGUGGUCCAUGCUCUCUUAGAAACACCGUUCAAAACAUCUAGUACCUAUUGCUAGUUGAACAUAAGAACUCUAAGAACUCUACGGAGAGUAGAAGACUUUCUUUUGAGCUUUCAUCAAUGGCAGAGCCCUCAGGAGAGUGUAAGAAACCGCUUUCCUGGUCACCCUAGAACUCUUUCUGAACAAGAGCCCCAAGGAAAAAGAACUAAACAAGUGCUCUAGCAAAACGAAAAUAGUGAGGCAGAAAAUACUAAUGAAAGCAAUGAGACCAACAACAUUCAUUAGAAUUAUUUCUCUGCAUUUGAAAGCACAGAUGUUGGGAUUCAACAUGCUUACAACGAAGAAGGCGGAAGUGGUGAUCAAGCAAGGACGGGUGAAAACCACAACAUUUCUCGCAAUAGAUUUUAUGCAGAAAACAGCCAUCGGGUUGGGAUUAUCAAUGUUGGCAACAAGAACUACAAGAAGUCGAGCGUACCAUUUCUUUUCGGUCUUCUUAUUCUUCUUGUUCAAGCUUUAUUUUACAUUUUAUUUUAUAUGUUAACGAUGAGUAAGCAAAACAAAAAAUGAAGCAAGUGGCUUGAGUGAAAAAGAAGGAACGACCAAGAAGAAAAAGAAGAAGAGAAAAGUCAAUAAGUGAGAAAGAAAGGUGCGGCUUGGAGUUUCCUGUACUAUUAUGGAGCGGAAGGGUUUGCAGAUGUAUGGUCUUCUUAUAUGCAAACUUUUCUUUGCGUUCCUUUCUCUGAAUAUGAAUCGUAUUUAUAUAUAUAUUUAUGUAUUUCUUCUUCUUCUACUUGCCAUAAGUAUAUUGAUAUAUGCUGAGUAAGUAUUGUAUAUUUUUCUUCUUGUGUA